GACGAACGCUGGCGGCGUGCUUAACACAUGCAAGUCGAACGGAAAGGCCCGGCUCUUGUGGGGUUCUCGAUUGGCGAACGGGUGAGUAACACGUGAGUAACCUGCCCCUGACUUUGUGAUAUCUUCUGGAAACUGGGGCGAAUACCCGAUAGGAUCUCCUGAUCCAUGUUGGUGGUUGGAAAGUUUCGGCGUUUGUGGAUGGACUGGCGGCUUAUCAGCUGGUUGGUGUCGUAGUGGCGUACCAAGGCUUUGACGGGUAGGCGGCCUGAGAGGGUUACCGGCCACAAUGGGACUACGGUACGGCGCAGAAUGCUACGGGAGGCAGUAGUGGGGAAUAUUGCACAAUGGGCCGGCGCCUGAUGCAGCGGCGCCGCGUGCGGGAAGCCGGCCUACGGGUUGUAAACAGAUUUCGACUGUGACGAAGAGUGAGUGACGGUAACGGGUAAAGAAGCACCGGCUAACUACGUG
rnacentral:rRNA from 1 species